UAAUUUAAAAAUAAAUUAAAAAUAACUAAAAAUAAAAACAGAACAAAAAAAUACUUAUCAAGCCCAGUAACACGAGGCAAGACUCUCUCGCUCUCUCUCAAUCUCCGUCGUCUCUUCCACUUCCUACUUCAAUUGGAUCGCAUAUUACUUGCCUCGAGCAGCACCGAGAGAAAUGGAAAGUCUGGUUGGCCAGUCCAGCGUUUUUCGUUUUGCUGCCUCCCCUGUUAAAAAAUUGGUGAAGGAUAAAUAAUGAGCAUUAAAAAAGAUGUACUUGAAGAGCUUCAGAUUUGGACAAGGAGUACCAUAAAGGCGAUCCUGUAGAGAGCCGUUAGACAUAAAGGGAUAAACAAGAAUUUGUUGGUCAUUUUCACAGCAGCAUCCAAGGAGCUGGACCAAAUUUUCGUGCCGAAUAGCAGAUAGCAGGUUCAGCUGUAAAAUGCAUUGAUAACAACUGUCAGUCGUCUUGUGAAACAGAGUAGCAUACCUGAUCUUCUGCCCAUCACUCCCGACACCAAAUCUGUCAAUCAAUUUCAGAACACCGGAGGGCUCCAGCUGGAAAUAAUCAGAAUUAUUCAAAGUCCUUAGUUCAAGCUUCGAAAUGUAAGGAUAUCCCUUUCCCUUCUCUAAGCAGAAGUUCGUGUUGUCAUUGGUAGCUCGAAAAAUUGCCUCCACUUCUGUCUCAUACACUGAGUUCACGGUCCCUAUCGGUGUAACACCGAUCAAAACAUUAAAGGAGGAGCCUGGAGGUAUCCCCAGCAGAUCUCCAUAACGGAAUGUACCCCUUAUCAGAUAAUCUUGAUUCUUUACUGUUGUUAAGUUAUAACACCAUUUGUUGCCAAACCGUGAAUUGAAAAACCGAGCCUUGUUAUAGCCUGUAUCGUUUUUCACUGGCCUGACUAUGUCUUGGCAGGUGAAUCUAUCUGGGUACCAAUCACUGUCCGUUUUCCAACU